rnacentral:tRNA from 1 species
GAUGUGGCUCAGUGGUAAAGUACUUGCCUAGCAUGCUUGAGGACCUAGGUUCAAUCCCUAGUACA